UGGUCACUUAACUUCGCGAGCUUUCAGUUUUUCUCCAUAAAUAUAGAUUUAGCGAGUUUUCCAACGUAUAGCUACCUAGUUUAUAGUUAAUUUAUCUAUCAAACAGAAUCGUGCACAAAUUUAAUGAUAAACAACGGCAACUGCAACAUAAAAUUUCAUAGCCUCCGUAUAAUAACACGGCUUGAUGUGAACAUGAAAACUAAGCAUUUAUUAACCGAAAUUACAUACCUACGUACCUACAAUAAAUGAAAGUACGUUAUUAUAAACAUGCUGACAGGCAAAAUAACGCAUCAAAACAGAUACGUGUAUUUAUUUAAAAUAAAUGUAUCAUUGCUCUUCUUUUGUUUGUAAUAGUUUUGUAGUUUACUGUUUAUCGUUAAUUGUUAUUAUUCUUCAACACAAUCAGGAAUGGAAUUCAAAGAACUCGAGAAACGCACGAUAUUCAUUCUGAUCGCCGUUCGGUGCGUCCCCGGUCGUCAACAACGUCGUUAACUCGAAUACGAGCGAAAGGCUGCUCAGCUUUAGGUGGCUCGGUGACCCACCAGGAAAAGACUCGACAGUUUGUCGUGGACUCGAGGAAUGCGUCCGUUGUUCUUGGAUAUUAACGCGCGAAACGAGCUGUGUUCAAGUUAUUUAUUAAUAAUAAAAAAAAAGGGAAUUGUCGUCAACACGUGCUGUUGUGAGUUAAAUUAUUAUUGUGCGACUGACUCACUGCUUGCAUACUUAGGGUAAUAAUGUAAAGUGCUUCGAACUGCAGCAAAUGAAACUAACUAGAAUAUCGUUAGAUAAAUUAACGAUAAGUAUUAAAAUGCAAUCAGAAAGGUGCCGUGUUUGUUUUUAUGGAUAAGUAAAACUGUUGGACAUCACGAUUAGGAAAAUGUGAGCUAUUUUAUGGGCGCCCACAAUCCUACCUGUUGCUAUUAAGUUUUCCACUGCGAAAAUUAAUGGUGGCAAUAGUCCUAAAAAUUCGAGUCAUUAUUAUCGUUGGAGAUGAUUUUUCCGAAGAAAAUUAAUGGAAAUUCGAAUUACAGAGACAAUUUAAAAUGCCACAUCCGCACUCGAAUGUCGAGUUAGAGAAAAAUUCGACAAAACUAAAUGAAUGGGUAUUUUAAUUGAGGAAAAAAAUAUUCGAGCUAGAAAAGUUUCGAGACGCUUAAUUGUAUUUUCGUUUUAGUUAUGUAAUUAUAAAUCCUAAUGCGGUUUGAAAUAUGCUGUACAAAUACAAAAAACUAAAACUUUUUAACUAAAAUUACAUAUGUAUGUUUACAAGGUGAGAUUAAUACCAUAUGGAAAAAGUGAAGGCCAGAUGAAGUGAUCCUCGACAGUACGUGUGGUAGUUAUAGUUACAGUAGUCAAACUGAAUAUAAAUACAUUUUUGUCAUAGACGUUAUUUAUAUGUAUAAUGUGCAAUAAAUUAUUAUAUUCA